rnacentral:rRNA from 1 species
GACGAACGCUGGCGGUGUGCCUAAUACAUGCAAGUAGAACGCUGACGGAGUAGCUUGCUUCUCUGGCUGAGUUGCGAACGGGUGCGUAACGCGUAGGUAACCUGCCUUGUAUCGGGGUAUAACUAUUGGAAACGAUAGCUAAUCCCGCAUAAGAGUAGAUGUUGCAUGACAUUUGCUUAAACUUUGCAAUUUCAUCACUACCAUAUGGACCUGCGUUGUAUUAGCUAGUUGGUGAGGUAACGGCUCACCAAGGCAACUCUACAUAGCCUAGCUGAGAGGGGGGACGGCCAAACUGGGACUGAGAAACGGGCCAGACUCCCAAGGGAAGGAGCAAGAGGGAAACUUCGGAAAUGGAGGGAAGGCUGGACGAACAAAGACGCGGUAGGGAAGAAGGUCUUCGGAGCGUAAAGCUCUGUUGUAAGAGAAGAAAGAGUGGGAGAGUAGAAAGUUCACGCUGUGACGGUAUCUUAACAGAAAGGAACGGCUAACUACGUG